CGAACGCUGGCGGCGUGCUUAACACAUGCAAGUCGAACGGAAAGGCCCUGCUUUUGUGGGGUGCUCGAGUGGCGAACGGGUGAGUAACACGUGGGUAACCUGCCCUUGACUUUGGGAUAACUUCAGGAAACUGGGGCUAAUACCGGAUAGGAGCUCCUGCUGCAUGGUGGGGGUUGGAAAGUUUCGGCGGUUGGGGAUGGACUCGCGGCUUAUCAGCUUGUUGGUGGGGUAGUGGCUUACCAAGGCUUUGACGGGUAGCCGGCCUGAGAGGGUGACCGGCCACAUUGGGACUGAGAUACGGCCCAGACUCCUACGGGAGGCAGCAGUGGGGAAUAUUGCACAAUGGGCGGAAGCCUGAUGCAGCAACGCCGCGUGCGGGAUGACGGCCUUCGGGUUGUAAACCGCUUUCGCCUGUGACGAAGCGUGAGUGACGGUAAUGGGUAAAGAAGCACCGGCUAACUACGUG
rnacentral:rRNA from 1 species